rnacentral:rRNA from 1 species
GUAUGGACAGUAAAGUCGUAACAAGGUUUUCUAAGGUGACCCGGGCAGAUGUAUCAUUUGAGGAAAAACCUUUUUUAGGAGGUGUGGCUCGCCACCUGUCCAAGUAAACUUGAGUUGCCUUUUUCAUACCCGCUGGCAUCGGUCGUCUUGUCCAGUGAGAGGUGGAAAGUUAUUAUCAGGCUUUCAUCAGACGAACUGGGCACAUUACCCAAUUUUUGGAAAGUAAAAGUCGUAACAAGGUCUCCGUAGGUGAACCUGCGGAGGGAUCAUUACAAGUGACCCCGGUUUUACCACCGGGAUGUUCAUAACCCUUUGUUGUCUGACUCUGUUGCCUCCGGGGCGACCCUGCCUUCGGGGCGGGGGGCUCGGGGUGGACACUUCAAACUCUUGCGUAACUUUGCAGUCUGAGUAAAUUAAUUAAUAAAUUAAAACUUUUAACAACGGGAUCUCUUGGUUCUGGCAUCGAUGAAGAACGCAGCGAAAUGCGAUAAGUAAUGUGAAUUGCAGAAUUCAGUGAAUCAUCGAAUCUUUGAACGCACAUUGCGCCCCCUGGUAUUCCGGGGGGCAUGCCUGUUCGAGCGUCAUUUCACCACUCAAGCCUCGCUUGGUAUUGGGCAACGCGGUCCGCCGCGUGCCUCAAAUCGACCGGCUGGGUCUUCUGUCCCCUAAGCGUUGUGGAAACUAUUCGCUAAAGGGUGUUCGGGAGGCUACGCCGUAAAACAACCCCAUUUCUAAGGUUGACCUCGGAUCAGUGAGAACCG